GGGGGUGACUGGUUUCGACAAGGUGGGUCUGAGAUGGGCAGCAGGCCGUGGUCUCCUCGCCACGCUAAACAGGGGUACCGUCAAAUUGAAUUGACGACAACAACUCUUUUGAGCCUCUGGCUCUCGCUGCUUAAUUAAAUAGCGGCGCGUCAAACUGGGGAUUGCUCCCGUUCCCAGGGCGACGUCAUUUAGGGAGAUGCUCGCGCGGACGUGGCUGGUAUGCCGCGCGAUAAGACUGAACCGGCUGGGUUGCCAAGCGCGGGUUACCGGGUGCGCGGCAGCUGAGACCUAACCGGCAACUGAGCCUGGAGACACCUGUCAGGGACUUGCUUUGGACCGGAGUUCGAUUCUCCGCACCUCCACCA
rnacentral:tmRNA from 2 species